UACGUAGGGUGCAAGCGUUAUCCGGAAUCACUGGGCGUAAAGCGUGCGUAGGUGGAUGUUUAAGUGAGAUGUUAAAUCGUGUGGCUCAACCAUAUCGAUGCAUCUCAUACUGGGCAUCUAGAGGACAGCAGAGGCAAGUGGAAUUGGUAGUGUAGCAGUGAAAUGCGUAGAUAUUACCAGGAACACCAAUGGCGAAGGCAGCUUGCUGGGCUACUCCUGACACUGAGGUACGAAAGCGUGGGGAGCGAACAGG
rnacentral:rRNA from 1 species